GGGUCAGCAGGUUGGUCGUGCCACCGGUACGUACUGGUCUCACUGAUCCCUCCUUCCUGAAGAACCGUAAUGCCAUUAAUUUGGUGUUGCGGGGAAACAGGACUGUUACUUUGAAAAAAUUAGAGUGUUUAAAGCAAGCUAACGCUUGAAUACAUUAGCAUGGAAUAAUGAAAUAGGACGAUCGAUCCUAUUUUGUUGGUUUCUAGGAUUGACGUA
rnacentral:rRNA from 1 species